AGGGGGAAUGGUCGGGAUAGCUCAGUUGGUAGAGCAGAGGACUGAAAAUCCUCRUGAC
rnacentral:tRNA from 1 species